AGCCUCACGCAGUGGCUCAGGCAGGCCGGUGGCAGGAACCAGGCCCGCGGUGGAGGGGUGCCCUUGUUGCCCACGUGUCCCACGAUCAGUUGCGCUGUCUGCCGCUCGGCCUGGCACCGACGGCCCCACUCGGCCAGCCGGUCCUUGCCCAGGCCCCCCGGGAACAUGACCACGAGCUCCAGGCCGUCGCCGCCAGGAUAGGCACAAGCCUGGCACAGCGCUGACAAGUAGCCCAGCAUGGCGUUCCAUUGGCCGCCACACACCCAAUCCGUCUGGUAGCCGCCAUAGAGCCGCGGCAGCGCCGAGCCGGCGUCCACCAGCACCCGGGCCCCGGGCAGCUGAGGGGGCGGCGGCGGCGGCAGCGGAGGGUGCAGCCCGGGCUGCGCUUGGCCAUGAUGGUGGAAGUGGUGAGCGGGGUGAUGGUGCCGAGUCGGCCCCGCGCCCCCGGAGUAGGCACCCAAGGCAGCGGGCGGAAGCGGCGGUUGCAGAGGCACGGAGCCCCUGGCGGCGCGUGGAGCCCCGGGCGCUAGGGCUGCAGUCGGCGGCAGCUGGCGGUGCAAGUGCUGCUGCUGCUGCUGGCGCGAGACCGUGCGCGCGAGUUUUAGGAGGUCCACGGGCACCACGGCCCCGGGACAGCGCUUCUCCAGGAACUCUUGGAAGCCCUGGACACCCAUGCUUCGUCGGUGGGCAGACGCGAUAGCGGCUGCGCAAGCAGGAUAGGCGACGAUCUGGGCGCGAAGCUGGGGGCGGGCGCGUGCGCACUCCGCGGGGGGCGAGGGGGGGCGGGAAAAGGAUUCCCGAGGGGAGGGGUGAGGAAGCGAGGGAAUGAGGGCGGGGAGGGGAGGAGACCACAAAUUGGAUUUGGGUAGAGAGAAGGGGAGGGGCAGACCGGACCCGGGAGAGGCUGGGAGGAUAAAA
rnacentral:lncRNA from 10 species